GGUGCCGGGACGGGACGGUAACGUGGUGGAUUGCAAAUCCAUGGCCCCUUCACUGGGACCCGGUUCGACUCCGGGCGGCACCU
rnacentral:tRNA from 1 species